ACAAAAGGUGUUUGGGUGAUUGUAUAUCUAGUCAUGCUCUUAUCAUAUUUACAUGCUUCGAUAAAUGGGAAAACGAUAUGAAAGAUUUACAAACUAAGAAUCCCGAUUUCAAAACUUACAUAACCUCUUUAUCACAUCAUAACAAAUCACUGUUACAUAGUUGUGGUCGUCAUUGGGUUACUUUCAAUAAUCGACUGAAAGGAGAAAACAACGAUAAGCAGGUAAAUAACUUACUUGGGAAAAUAGACGAAAAGUUAAAAACAGUCUGUCAACCUCAACAGGGCAAAAUAAAGAAUUUUUUAUUUGGACCAAAAGAUAUAGUGUCUUCGGGAGCCGUUCCAAGUACUAAAAAACUAUCAAAGGUAGAAGAAGAUCACUCACAAAGAAAAGGUGAACAUAAAGGAUUGGCGAAAUUUUGUAAAAAUCGUAAAAGAUAGAGAAA
rnacentral:lncRNA from 1 species